UUGAGGCAGCGAUUGAGGCAGUGGUUGAGGCAGUGGUAUUUAAUAACAUGUAUGUUAUUAAAUACUACUGCUUAAUAAUAAUAAUACAUGUUAUUAAUAAUAUGUACUAUUAUUAUUUAUGACAUAUAUGUUAUUAAAUACCACUGCCUCAAACGCUGAAUUAUUGUGAAAUGUUUGGAAAAGCUGGGAGACUAAUGUUCACUCCAGCAUAAACAAAGCCACACUGACGAUGUGUCAACCACUCCCUCAUAUUUUUGUACAAUUUCCUUCUUCAAUUUUAUUGUAUUAUUAUUAUUAUUAUUAUUAUUAUUAUUAUUAUUAUUAUUAUUUACUAUUGUUGAUAAAUUAGGCACAUAUACAACUCUUGGGAAUCUUCAAUGAAGAAUCCUCAUUGAAGAUUCCCAAGAGUUGUAUAUGUGCCUAAUUUAUCAACAUGUCGGUUCUCUGUACCAUUACUAUUGUUGUUAUUAGCAGUAGCAGAAAUGUUUGAUUCUUUGCUGUGUUCAAGAGUAAACACAUGAUGUCACCGUCCAAUACCUGUCUGAAUAGCCAUUCCAAUAUGCAGUCAUUAAUGGGUUUACAUUAUUUAUACUGUAGUUUAAUAGCAAAUAAUGAACAAACAAAACACUCACCACACUGAGUGGUGGGAGGGCUGGCUGCCAGUUGCGGGGGUCGGUGGGAGGGUAGUAGGGACUCGCAGUGGUGGAGGCAGUGGUGGAGUCUGUGGCAUUUAAUAACAUACAUGUUAUUAAAGCAUAACAUGUAUAUAUUUUGUACAAUUUAUGACGUUUUUAUGUAUUUUAUGAUCAUGGUUCAACGAGUUAAGGAAGCAGUAUUGUAUUAUAUUUCCCUACAAUAUAUUGGGGCACCAAACAUUCACUGUUUUUCAAUAUUCGUGAGGCUCUUGAUCCCCUAACCCUCGCGAAUGUUGAGGGAGACCUGUACUUCUUUCUUUUACUACAUACUAUUCCUGACUGCCUCAUAGCUCUCAUUGGCAAUUUGCAUGAGCGGAUUGGAACUUAUACUCUUGUAUUACUACCUUUCGUGAGGACCUUCUUUUGUCCUCUAUUGAUGAAGUGGCACACCAGUUUUCAAGCUUAAUUUUGACAGUGGCGUCACGUUCUAUUCCUAAAACUUUAGGCAGGCAUUCUCAGACAUGUGUGCCUUGGUGGUCUCCUGUGCGUGCCCGUGCAAUGCGUUUGAAACGUGCUGCGUGGGGCCAUUAUCAAUAUAAUCAGACUUCACAGUGUCUUUCGGAUUUUAAGCGAGCAAGGGCAGUUGCUUGCCGCGUCACGCAAUGCUCAAUGCACUUUUUGGCAAAACUACGUGUCUACCUUUACCUCGUCUUCCCCUAUAUGUGUGGAAGAAGGUAUGGAAGUUGUGUGGCAGGUACACUCCGGACCCAGCUUCUGUUUUGCGGGUUGCUGGUGUUAAUGUUGCAGAACCUCUUUAAGUUGCCAUGGAAAUCAGGAACUAUCUUGUCCAUAUCUCCCAAGGGCUUCACCCCUGUCACUCAUUUCUUGCGUCCAAGUCUGUCAAGGAGCAAUUGCCCUUGGAUUUCUCCUCUAAUGGAAUGGAGCCGUAUAACGUACCUUUCACUCUCCUAGAGCUAGAGCCCAUGCUUUCCACUUGCCAGCCUUCAGCAGCUGGACCUGAUAUUCAUAUCAGUAUGCUACAACAUCUGCAUUCUACUGCCCUUCCAGUCCUUUUACAUCUUUUCAAUCAUAUUUGGAUGCAAGGGGUUCUCCCUCAACAAUGGAAAUCUGCCAUCGUACUACCGUUUUGCAAACCAGGCAACUUGGGGCUUGAUACCUCGCACUACCGUCCCAUUGCCCUGACCAGUGUGGUCUGCAUGGUGAUGGAACAACUGGUGAAUAGACGUCUGAUGUGGUUCUUGGAGACUCGCAAUAGUCUUUCCCCUCACCAAUAUGGCUUUCGCAAGGGCCGCUCUACUUUGGACCCCUUGCUUCACUUAGAUACGUAUAUUCGAAAUGCCUUUGCUAACAAACACUCCAUCCUAGCAGUCUUUUUUGAUCUUGAGAAGGCAUAUGACACUACUUGGAGGUAUAACAUUCUAGCCCAAGCCUACUCUUUAGGCCUCCGAAGUAAUCUACCAACCUUCUUUGCUGCUUUCUUAUCUGAUAGACAUUUUCUGGUCUGUGUUGACUCCUUGCUUUUCUCAGACUUUGUACAAGCCGAGGGAGUUCCACAAGGUUGUGUCCUUAGCACUACCCUUUUUCUCUUAGCUAUAAAUGACCUACCUUCUGUUCUUCCAUCGCAUAUUUAACUAUAGCUUACUCAGGUGCUGACUGUCGCCUAGUAGCAGCCUCCCUUCAGGAUGCGAUUGACCAAGUUUCCCAUCAGACCACUUCAUAUGGCUUUUAAAUUUUCUAGUACGAAAACCCGUUUCAUUACCUUCACUAGGUGUCCUCUUAUCCCAGAUACUCCAUUGUACAGUAGUAUUUACAUGGCUCACAUAUUCCAGAAUGUGAUAUGGUCAAGUUUCUUGGCCUUCUCUUCAAUCGCUGGUUGACAUGGAAACCUCACAUUUCUUCUUUGAAGGCAACUUGCCAUAGUCGGCUGAAUAUCCUUAAAAUUCUUGUGCAUCGUUCAUGGGGAGCAGAUCGCCGAGCUCUCCUCCCUUUGCAUUCCUACCUAGUCUUGUCUAAGCUGGAGUAUGGUGACCAAGUCUAUUCUGCGGCUUCUCCUACAACUCUGUUCGUCGUGAUGCUCAUUGUCUUCGUUAUUUUGUCCGCGCUCAUGAUCUUCGUGUUUCUUCUAUGUAUAGACACUGCCAGAAUCUGUAGAUAGCAAAGAGGAAUGUAUUGUGGGAACCCUCGUGUGGUGCUGGCGAGAGAUGUGCUACUGCUGACAUUGUUCAUCGCAUCAAAGACUUGUCAACCUAAAUCUUUAGUCAGCUUAUCUAUUUUUCCAUAAUAUCACCUUUCCCUGUCACUCAGUUUUACAGAUAUGACAAUGUUAGUGCUUGAAAAAUUUUAUUAAGUAAUUGUUAGUGGUUACUGUUAUAGUACGUAGUUACAAUUAUUUUUUAUUUAAUUUUAUUUUAUGAAAACACAUUUUUGAUUUUAGAUUUGAUAAGCUAAAUCUUGUUGUAGCUUUUACAGUGAUACACAAAAUUUUAUAUUUUCAGGCUCUCUAUACUAUUUUAAACUUUAAUAAUGCUAGGUUUCUCCAGCUGGUCAUCAAAACUAUAGCUUUCAUUAGAGUGCCUCAAGUCAAGUUUUAGAUACUGAUGAACACCUUUGUCACUGCUUGAUGUGAAUGUUUGUGUGUGUGAAUGUGCAUGACUUGCUAAUCUGCAGAAGUCAUUAUGUGGAGGAACAGUAUACCAGUGAUGUAUGUAAUGCCUUGGUUGUUUCUUAAUGAUACCCACCUGCUCUCCAAUAUGUAGCACAAUCUUCACGUUUAUUUGUGCUAAUUUCCUGCAAGCAAUUGCAGUACAAUCAUAGAUUUCCCAUUUGCAGUGUCAUGGGUUAAUGUGACCUGUAAAUUUGGGUUUUUUUCAGUAAUGACCUCCAUGAUUUUAUUCUUUUAUACGAGUGAAUGAAUGCACACCAGCCCUAUUUCCCUCCUACUCUUGUCCUUCCAUGGAUAGUUGUUGGAUCAGCAGUCUCUCAUCUCGCCCUACCAAGUCUCGCCAUUUGCACUAAAUGGUUCACAUGAUGAAGAGAGACUAACAGUUGGUUCUUUGAUUUUCCCUUCUCUCACCUGGUUAGUUUAUGGCCCUCAUUUAUGAGUGCUAGGAGGAAUUAUCUUUUAUAAUCUUUUUUUGUGAGUCUGACCCCAACUAUUAAGAAUGGAAGGACCUAAGUAUCAGCUGGGGAUGCCCUUCACUGUUAUUGUUUCUACUUUCCUCAGCAUUAGUAAUCCAUUGGCUUUCACCAGUGGUAUCUUUAUAGCUGCUACACUUCAGCCUUCCUGGUAAUCUUGUAACUUGUGCCCAGAAAAAAAAAAUUGUUGAUGCAGAUACCUAUGACUGGUCAAUGCUUGGGUCAUCAUUUGUCAUCUGGCUGAUGUCUUAAUCUAGUGGCCUUGAAUUUACUCAGUCUGGCCAUGAGCACAGGAGCUCAGAAACUUUCUUAAGAUUGCAAGGAAAUUGGUCAAAGUGACCUUAUUAUUACCACAAGUUGAGACAUUCAGCUGGAGAUACUGGAGGUUGUUGUAGGACCACAUUUUUCUCCUCUUGCUGCUAGAAGGUGGAUUGUUUAAUUAGCUACACAUUCAUUUUUUUAAUCACAGCUUAGCACUGUUUUAUAUACAUCUGUAUUAUAGCAUCUAAAUAAAUCAUUAUUAUAAUUAUAUGAAUAUGCAGGCAGCUGAUUUUAGCUUGUUUUGGAAAGAAAAUAAAAUGUCCCAAUUUUACAAAUUCUAAGUCAA